ACGGUCUUCCCAGCCAAGGGGACCUAUGUACCCAGCACCCCAGGAAACUGAGGUAACGGCCCCAGAGACGUUGUGGGGCUUGCCCUAACCACCUUGUGGCUGGCCCCCCAAGGAGCUGCCCAGGACCCAAGAGAGGUCAGCAAGCUGCGAAGCAAACUGGACUAGAGCGGCCACACCCCAAACUGAACAGUCUGGUAGGACAUAGCCAAGAUUGUCGAAAGUUGCAGAAUUUCUGUGAAACCUGCAUCCCAAGCAAGAGGAAAACAUUCAUAGGGAAGAGCUGCAGCCCAAACUGGAUGGGAUAAAGUACAACAUGGUUUACAAAAGAGAAGUGGAGGAGCUGCCAGAAGUGGAUCAGACUAGGGUCCCUCUAGCUCAGAAUCCUGUCUCGGAUAAUGGCCAUCGCCAGCUGCUCUGGAGGAAGGAGCCAGGGGCCUGCAGUAGCAGUUACAGGCUCAUGCGGUUUCUUUUAACGAGAGGUUGGCCCAGAACAAUCUCAAACCAAGAUCUAUUGACACAGUGCAGCAAAGAGGAUCUGAGCACCAUCAUUGCCAGGAGGCGUUGGAGAUGGAAUCACAUGACCGAACCAUCACCAGAGUAGCAAUAAGAUGGACACCUGAAGGCAAGCGAAAACGAGGCCGCCCGAAAACAUGGUGAAGAGCUGUGGAAGCCGAGCUGAGAAACCUGGGGCACAGCUGGAGAACCCGAAAGACUUGCUAGAAACAGAUGGGAGUGGAGGAGCUUCGUCACUGCCCUAAACCCCAGAGGCGUAAUAGGAACAUGAUGAGGACAAUAAAUGGUGAUGGCCAGAUGCUAGCUUUGCAGAUGCUAUUUUCUUGUAUGAAUCGGGCAGCAAAAAACAAUGUUAUAAAAGAAAGUCCAGAGAGCUUUGUCAAUGAGCAAAAAUAAUUUUAAUGCAUUUGAGAAAAAUAGAAUGCUUCCUCAGCUCUCGUCCCCUAAUGCCCCUACUCUACUUGCGCUACAUUGACGACAUCUUCAUCAUCUGGACCCAUGGGAAAGAAGCC